CGUGUUACUCUAUCAUGGCCGGCGAAUGUGACACACCUCGAAUAAACAUCGAUGAACUUUCGCCGUAUUCCCCGAGGCGAAUGACUUGACUGUACCUGUCAGAUUUGGAGUCGUAUCCUCAUUCGCUGUCGACUCAAUUGAAAAAUGGAAGUGUAAAAAUUACGCGUGACGAAGCAAUUCGAGAAGCUAGUGCUGAGAAUGGAUGAGGAUCCUGCGGUGGCCAAGACCCUUAAGUUUUCUGAGACAGCGAACACUUCAAAGCCAAUUUUGGCUUCGGUGUGGGCGGAACAGCAGCAGCAGCAGGUUUUGAUCGACUUCAAAUUAAAACCGAAGAAGAGGAUCGUGAUAGAUAACAAUGGAGCCAGGACGCAGAAUAUGCCAGGAGGCAGUUACAUCUGGAGGAGAAAAAAAUCCGACUCAAGAAGAAAUACCUCCUCCGGAAAGAGCAGAGGAAGCAACAGGCUUUGGAGUUCCGGUUCACUGCUUCAGAAUAUAGAAAAAAACUUGAUUUUUUGUUAGUGUCUAACGAUAUGAAUGGAUUUCCAUUUCGUUCGAAACCGCUAUUUCGUUCGAGUUAUAAUAUCGCAUUCCUGAUUCCGAACAUUUUGCCAAUUUAUUUUUCGAAGAGAAACAGAUCGAACGAAAUGCAAAAACAACUCGAACGGAAUACAGAUAGAAUUUUAUAAACUCGUUCGAAAUAUUUCGAAUCGAUCGAAAUACACAAUAGGGGUGGAAAUCAUGUAAACCGAAACAACGUGCUCCAUCUAGUCCAACCUCCUCA